rnacentral:rRNA from 1 species
GGGUUCGGACUGCAGAAUCGAUGAGUGAGCCUAGUAGAAUGGUUUUGGGAAAGCCAGCCAGAGAGGGUGAAAGCCCCGUACACGAAAGGCGAGCGAGCGAAGCAGGAUCCAGAGUACCACGAGACACGUGAAACCUUGUGGGAACGCGCGGGGACCACCCCGUAAGGCUAAAUACUCAUUAGUGACCGAUAGCGCAUAGUACUGUGAAGGAAAGGUGAAAAGGACCCCGGGAGGGGAGUGAAAGAGAACCUGAAACCAUAUGUUUACAAGCUGUGGAACAUCUUUAUAUGAUGAACCGCGUACUUUUUGUAGAACGGUCCGGCGAGUUACGCUGGCUGGCGAGGUUAAGCACUGAAGGUGUGGAGCCGAAGGGAAACCAAGUCUGAACAGGGCGAAAUAGUCAGUCGGAGUAGACCCGAAACCGGGUGAUCUAUCCAUGUCCAGGUUGAAGUUGCCGUAAAAGGCAAUGGAGGACCGAACCCACAUCCGUUGAAAAGGGUGGGGAUGAGGUGUGGAUAGGGGAGAAAUUCCAAUCGAACCCGGAGAUAGCUGGUUCUCCUCGAAAUAGCUUUAGGGCUAGCCUCAUGCAAGUCUUACGGAGGUAGAGCACUGAAUUCCUAAGGGGGCGUCAAAGCUUACCAAGGGAUAUCAAACUCCGAAUGCCGUGUAGAUGGUGCAUGGGAGUCAGACUAUCCGAGAUAAGUUGGGUAGUCAAAAGGGAAAGAGCCCAGACCUACAGCUAAGGUCCCAAAAUGUGUGUUAAGUGGAAAAGGAUGUGGGAUUUCGAAGACAACUAGGAUGUUGGCUUAGAAGCAGCCAUCCAUUAAAAGAGUGCGUAAUAGCUCACUAGUCGAGAGGUCCUGCGCCGAAAAUGUCCGGGGCUGAAACACACUACCGAAGCUUAGGAAUUGAUGAAUGUCAAUUGGUAGAGGAGCAUUCUUAACGGGGCGAAGCUGUACCGGAAGGAGCAGUGGACUGUUAAGAAGAGAGAAUGCCGGAAUGAGUAGCGAGAGGAAGGUGAGAAUCCUUCCGGCCGAAUAUCUAAGGUUUCCAGAGUAAAGCUGAUCUGCUCUGGGUAAGUCGGGGCCUAAGGCGAGGUCGAAAGACGUAGUCGAUGGAUAACAGGUAAAGAUUCCUGUACUAUAUCAUAACAGAACUGUGGGGACGCAGACAGAGAGCAUAAGCCGGGAAUGGAAAGACCGGUACAAGCGAGGUAGGAGUGCAUCAGGCAAAUCCGGUGCACAAUCUGAAGACGUGAUGUGGGGCGUAAAGCCAUAAGUAUGUGAGCUGGCUGCCAAGAAAAGCCGCUAUUGUUUAUGAUAUACCCGUACCGUAAACCGACACAGGUGGAUGAGGAGAGAAUCCUAAGGCCGACGGGAGAAGCAUUGUUAAGGAACUCGGCAAAAUGACUCCGUAACUUCGGGAGAAGGAGUGCCAUGUAAAAGUGGCCGCAGAGAAUUGGCCCAAGCAACUGUUUAGCAAAAACACAGGUCUAUGCAAAACCGAAAGGUGAGGUAUAUGGGCUGACGCCUGCCCGGUGCUGGAAGGUUAAGGGGAGAGGUUAGUCGUAAGGCGAAGCUUUGAACUUAAGCCCCAGUAAACGGCGGCCGUAACUAUAACGGUCCUAAGGUAGCGAAAUUCCUUGUCGGGUAAGUUCCGACCCGCACGAAAGGCGUAAUGAUUUGGGCACUGUCUCAACAAUGCACCCGGUGAAAUUGAAAUACCAGUGAAGAUGCUGG